GAACGCGAAUUGUCCCGAUUCUACAUCUUCCGCGUGAUGAUACGUGUU
rnacentral:sRNA from 1 species